UUCGUACGCUGGGAAUCGAACCCGGGCCGCUUGGGUAAAACCACGAGACCUAACCACUAGAACACAUGGGG